rnacentral:rRNA from 1 species
AUGAAGGUCUUCCACCGCGGCCCGGCCGCCAGCUCCGACCACUCCCGCACCUUGAGCAGCGCGUCCACCGCGCCCUGCCACCAGUGCUCCUCCUCCCCGCCCAGCGUCGCCGCCGCCCCGCCCACGCGCUGGUGGGAGGACGAGGAGGGCGCGGAGGAGGGCCAGCAGGGGAAGCAGCAGCACCGGCUGCCCCGGCGCGCGAAGAAGGCCGCCUCCGCCUCGUCCGCCGCGCCGCCGUGGUCGGCGUCCAUCGCCUCGCCGCGACCGUGGAUCGUGGAAGGAAGGAAGGAAACCCCUGCGCCGCCGGGCCGAUGUGGUUGGGUCUGGUCUCUUUGGUCUGUCGUGCAGUUGCGCCGUGUCGGGGCAGCGUAUGUUGUGCGGGCCUUUUAUCGGGAGGCCGCCCGCCGCGGGCAGGCCGUGGGCGGGGCAGGGGAGUCAACGGUGGGCGCGGCCGGCUGA